AAUGCAUUAAAGAUGUGAUGCCUUUUCCUUUGAAGAAGGCUCUUGUUAAAUUUCACUAGACAUCAGUCGGUCUCGGGAGCUGCAUCCCCACUUCGCCUCCUUGAUUCUCCAAACUCCACAGGUGGAACAGAGGGAAGUGAAUGUGUGUUUGCAAAUGUGGGCACAAAGUGAGGUUCUGGUUGCUGAGGAAGCAAGUGCUAAUGAUCCUGCUUUAGACUAAUUACAACCUACAAGGACUGCAGGGUGGGAACUCAUUAAUUUCUUCGCUGGUGUUGGUCUCUGUGUCUCUUCCAGUGUUGGCAAGAAUCAUGCUUUUUGUUCUCAUUUAGGUCUUUCAAUCUGGAUAAGUUCUACGGUUUUGGUUUUGUUUUGAGUUUCCUAAUUUCCAGGAAACAACUAAAGUGAAAUCAGAAGGGAAAAAUUCAUCCUUCCUUCCUGAUGAGUGGAGCUGGGAGUGUGAAUGAACUUUGAUGAGCCCCAACAUGAGGAGCAGUGGCUUCCCUGGGGACUGAAAGCUCACACUGCUGCAGCUGAGACCAGCCUCAGUAUUUACCACAACCAGACUGCCCCCAUUCUGUGGUUCCCUGCUGGCAGAGUGAUGUUCUGCAGAAGACCCUUCCCAGGAAAAUAUUUGGGCUCCUCAGCCUGCAUUGCCCCAGUGGGGUGA
rnacentral:lncRNA from 1 species